AUGCUGGAGGUAUCAGAAGUGCGAAUGCUGACAUAAGUAACGAUAAUGCGGGUGAAAAACCCGCACGCCGGAAGACCAAGGGUUCCUGUCCAACGUUAAUCGGGGCAGGGUGAGUCGACCCCUAAGGCGAGGCUGAAAAGCGUAGUCGAUGGGAAACGGGUUAAUAUUCCCGUACUGGUGGUAACUGCGAUGGGGGAACGGAGAAGGCUAGGUUGUCCGGGCGACGGUCGUCCCGGUUCAAGCAUGUAGGCAGAGUGAUUAGGCAAAUCCGGUCACUUAAUGCUGAGGUGUGAUGACGAGCCACUAAGGUGGUGAAGCAAUUGAUGCCCUGCUUCCAGGAAAAGCCUCUAAGCUUCAGGUUACCAACAAUCGUACCCCAAACCGACACAGGUGGUCAGGUAGAGAAUACUCAGGCGCUUGAGAGAACUCGGGUGAAGGAACUAGGCAAAAUGGUGCCGUAACUUCGGGAGAAGGCACGCUGGCGGUAAGUGAAGUCCCUUGCGGACGGAGCCGAAGCCAGUCGAAGAUACCAGCUGGCUGCAACUGUUUAUUAAAAACACAGCACUGUGCAAACACGAAAGUGGACGUAUACGGUGUGACGCCUGCCCGGUGCUGGAAGGUUAAUUGAUGGGGUUAUCCUUAGGGAGAAGCUCUUGAUCGAAGCCCCAGUAAACGGCGGCCGUAACUAUAACGGUCCUAAGGUAGCGAAAUUCCUUGUCGGGUAAGUUCCGACCUGCACGAAUGGCGUAAUGAUGGCCAGGCUGUCUCCACCCGAGACUCAGUGAAAUUGAACUCGCUGUGAAGAUGCAGUGUACCCGCGGCAAGACGGAAAGACCCCGUGAACCUUUACUAUAGCUUGACACUGAACAUUGAGCCUUGAUGUGUAGGAUAGGUGGGAGACUAUGAAGUGUGGACGCCAGUCUGCAUGGAGUCAACCUUGAAAUACCACCCUUUAACGUUUGAUGUUCUAACCUAGGCCCGUAAUCCGGGUCGGGGACCGUGUCUGGUGGGUAGUUUGACUGGGGCGGUCUCCUCCUAAAGAGUAACGGAGGAGCACGAAGGUUGGCUAAGCAUGGUCGGACAUCAUGCGGUUAGUGCAAAGGCAUAAGCCAGCUUGACUGUGAGAGUGACGGCUCGAGCAGGUACGAAAGUAGGUCUUAGUGAUCCGGUGGUUCUGAAUGGAAGGGCCAUCGCUCAACGGAUAAAAGGUACUCCGGGGAUAACAGGCUGAUACCGCCCAAGAGUUCAUAUCGACGGCGGUGUUUGGCACCUCGAUGUCGGCUCAUCACAUCCUGGGGCUGAAGUAGGUCCCAAGGGUAUGGCUGUUCGCCAUUUAAAGUGGUACGCGAGCUGGGUUUAGAACGUCGUGAGACAGUUCGGUCCCUAUCUGCCGUGGGCGUUGGAAGAUUGAGAGGGGUUGCUCCUAGUACGAGAGGACCGGAGUGAACGCACCACUGGUGUUCGGGUUGUCAUGCCAAUGGCAUUGCCCGGUAGCUAAGUGCGGAAGAGAUAACCGCUGAAAGCAUCUAAGCGGGAAACUUGCCUCGAGAUGAGUCUUCCCUGUCACCUUGAGUGACCUAAAGGAACGUUUAAGACUAAGACGUUGAUAGGCUGGGUGUGUAAGCGUAGCGAUACGUUGAGCUAACCAGUACUAAUGAACCGUGAGGCUUAACCUG
rnacentral:rRNA from 1 species